rnacentral:rRNA from 1 species
UACGGGGGAUGCAAGCGUUAUCCGGAUUUAUUGGGUUUAAAGGGUGCGUAGGCUGUGAGGUAAGUCAGCGGUGAAAUGCCCCUGCUCAACGGGGUGAAGUGCCAUUGAUACUGCCUUGCUGGAAUGCGGAUGCCGUGGGAGGAAUGUGUGGUGUAGCGGUGAAAUGCAUAGAUAUCACACAGAACACCGAUUGCGAAGGCAUCUCACGAAUCCGCUAUUGACGCUGAUGCACGAAAGCGUGGGUAUCAAACAGG